GGUUAAGUGACUAAGCGUACACGGUGGAUGCCUAGGCAAUCAGAGGCGAAGAAGGACGUGCUAAUCUGCGAAAAGCUUGGAUGAGUUGAUAAGAAGCGUUUAAUCCAAGAUAUCCGAAUGGGGAAACCCAGUAGAUGAAGAAUCUACUAUCAAUAGAUGAAUACAUAGUCUGUUGAGGCAAACCGGGAGAACUGAAACAUCUAAGUACCCCGAGGAAAAGAAAUCAACCGAGAUUUUGUCAGUAGCGGCGAGCGAAAGCGAAAGAGCCAGCAAGUGAUAGCAGCAAAGACAGAAGAAUUGGCUGGGAAGCCAAGCGACACAGGGUGAUAGCCCCGUAUUUUAAGUUUAUGUUGUGGUACUAAACUUGCAACAAGUAGGGCGGGACACGAGAAAUCCUGUUUGAAGAUGGGGGGACCAUCCUCCAAGGCUAAACACUCCUGAUUGACCGAUAGUGAACCAGUACUGUGAAGGAAAGGCGAAAAGAACCCCAGUGAGGGGAGUGAAAUAGAACCUGAAACCGUGUACGUACAAGCAGUGGGAGCCCUUUUGGGUGACUGCGUACCUUUUGUAUAAUGGGUCAGCGACUUAUAUUUUGUAGCGAGGUUAACUGAAUAAGGGAGCCGAAGGGAAACCGAGUCUUAACUGGGCGGUGAGUUGCAAGGUAUAGACCCGAAACCCGGUGAUCUAGCCAUGGGCAGGUUGAAGGUUGGGUAACACUAACUGGAGGACCGAACCGACUAAUGUUGAAAAAUUAGCGGAUGACUUGUGGCUGGGGGUGAAAGGCCAAUCAAACCGGGAGAUAGCUGGUUCUCCCCGAAAUCUAUUUAGGUAGAGCCUUAUGUGAAUACCUUCGGGGGUAGAGCACUGUUUCGGCUAGGGGUCCAUCCCGGAUUACCAACCCGAUGCAAACUGCGAAUACCGAAGAGUAAUGCAUAGGAGACACACAGUGGGUGCUAACGUCCAUCGUGGAGAGGGAAACAACCCAGACCGCCAGCUAAGGUCCCAAAGUCUAUAUUAAGUGGGAAACGAAGUGGGAAGGCUUAGACAGCUAGGAUGUUGGCUUAGAAGCAGCCACCAUUUAAAGAAAGCGUAAUAGCUCACUAGUCGAGUCGGCCUGCGCGGAAGAUGUAACGGGGCUAAAAUAUAGCACCGAAGCUGCGGCAUCAGGCGUAUCACCAGAGGAAUAUUUGUGAUACGCCUGUUGGGUAGGGGAGCGUUGUGUAAGCGGAUGAAGGUGAAUCGAGAGGUUUGCUGGACGUAUCACAAGUGCGAAUGCUGACAUAAGUAACGAUAAAACGAGUGAAAAACUCGUUCGCCGGAAGACCAAGGGUUCCUGUCCAACGUUAAUCGGGGCAGGGUGAGUCGGCCCCUAAGGCGAGGCUGAAAAGCGUAGUCGAUGGGAAACGGGUUAAUAUUCCCGUACUUGGUAAAGCUGCGAUGUGGGGACGGAGAAGGUUAGGUUAGCAGACUGUUGGAUGUCUGUUUAAGUUGGUAGGUGGGAAGUUUAGGCAAAUCCGGACUUCCAUAACACUGAGAGAUGAUGACGAGUUUCUACGGAAAUGAAGUAACUGAUACCACGCUUCCAGGAAAAGCCACUAAGCGAAAGGCUUUACUAAACCGUACUGAAAACCGACACAGGUGGUCAGGUAGAGAAUACUCAGGCGCUUGAGAGAACUCGGGUGAAGGAACUAGGCAAAAUAGCACCGUAACUUCGGGAGAAGGUGCGCUGGCGUAGGUUGUAAGAGUAUACCUCCGAAGGCUGAACCAGUCGAAGAUACCAGCUGGCUGCAACUGUUUAUUAAAAACACAGCACUCUGCAAACACGAAAGUGGACGUAUAGGGUGUGAUGCCUGCCCGGUGCUGGAAGGUUAAUUGAUGGUGUUAUCGAAAGAGAAGCUCCUGAUCGAAGCCCCAGUAAACGGCGGCCGUAACUAUAACGGUCCUAAGGUAGCGAAAUUCCUUGUCGGGUAAGUUCCGACCUGCACGAAUGGCAUAAUGAUGGCCAGGCUGUCUCCACCCGAGACUCAGUGAAAUUGAAAUCGCCGUGAAGAUGCGGUGUACCCGCGGCUAGACGGAAAGACCCCGUGAACCUUUACUAUAGCUUGACACUGAACAUUGAAUUUUGAUGUGUAGGAUAGGUGGGAGCCUAAGAAGCAGUCACGCCAGUGAUUGUGGAGGCGUCCUUGAAAUACCACCCUUUAACAUUUGAUGUUCUAACGAAGAUUGCGAAACGCGGUCUCGGACAGUGUCUGGUGGGUAGUUUGACUGGGGCGGUCUCCUCCCAAAGCGUAACGGAGGAGCACGAAGGUUUGCUAAUCACGGUCGGACAUCGUGAGGUUAGUGCAAUGGUAUAAGCAAGCUUAACUGCGAGACAGACAAGUCGAGCAGGUGCGAAAGCAGGUCAUAGUGAUCCGGUGGUUCUGAAUGGAAGGGCCAUCGCUCAACGGAUAAAAGGUACUCCGGGGAUAACAGGCUGAUACCGCCCAAGAGUUCAUAUCGACGGCGGUGUUUGGCACCUCGAUGUCGGCUCAUCACAUCCUGGGGCUGAAGUAGGUCCCAAGGGUAUGGCUGUUCGCCAUUUAAAGUGGUACGCGAGCUGGGUUUAGAACGUCGUGAGACAGUUCGGUCCCUAUCUGCCGUGGGCGUUGGAGAAUUGAGAGGGGCUGCUCCUAGUACGAGAGGACCGGAGUGGACGCAUCACUGGUGUACCAGUUGUCUCGCCAGAGGCAUUGCUGGGUAGCUAAAUGCGGAAGAGAUAAGUGCUGAAAGCAUCUAAGCACGAAACUCGCCUUAAGAUGAGUUCUCCCUAGCUAUAAGCUAGUAAGGGUUGUUGGAGACUACGACGUAGAUAGGUCUGGUGUGUAAGCGGUGUGAGCCGUUGAGCUAACAGAUACUAAUUGCCCGAGAGGCUUAACUAUA
rnacentral:rRNA from 1 species